UCCGGCAACGAUGAAGAACGCAGCUAAUUGCGAUAAGUAAUGSGAAUCGCAGAGCCUAGUGAGUCAUCGAGUUUUUGAACGCACAUUGCGCCUGUCAGCCCUUUMUGGCAGGCAUGCCUGUCCGAGCGUCGUYGUCCAUCUUUUCAGGCCUUUUUUAAAGGGACCUGGUGUUGGGACGCAUCUUUCAAGCCUGCCUUGGGGAUAGUCCUGAAAAUUAGUGGCGGCUUUAUGGUAGCCUUCAGGAUGUGGUUAUGCUCUUCAUCCAGAAAAGUCGACUCUGAUAUGCCGGCCUGAAAGACUGAAUAUCAAUCAAGKUYGACCUCGAUCAGGAGGWWCCCCWA
rnacentral:rRNA from 1 species